CAGCCGCCACGGGAAUACAGAGGGUGCGAGCGUUAAUCGGAUUUACUGGGCGUAAAGCGUGCGUAGGCGGCUUUUUAAGUCGGAUGUGAAAUCCCUGAGCUUAACUUAGGAAUUGCAUUCGAUACUGGGAAGCUAGAGUAUGGGAGAGGAUGGUAGAAUUCCAGGUGUAGCGGUGAAAUGCGUAGAGAUCUGGAGGAAUACCGAUGGCGAAGGCAGCCAUCUGGCCUAAUACUGACGCUGAGGUACGAAAGCAUGGGGAGCAAACAGGAUUAGAUACCCGCGUAGUCCCUGUCUCUUAUAA
rnacentral:rRNA from 1 species